GGCCUUAUGGUCUAGUCGUAUGAUUCUCCCUUUGGGUUCGCCUGAAGAUUGGGAGAGGUCUCGGGUUCAAUUCCCGAUGAGGCCC
rnacentral:tRNA from 1 species